rnacentral:lncRNA from 1 species
UCGAGGUCACAUUUUCCUUGUCCAGGUCUGGACUAGGCUGGGCCAGGGCAGGCCUACUGGGCCGUUGGACUGGUCUGCCACUAAUGCCGUGGUUAAAAAUAUUAGUCGUGAUACUUUGAGAAAUACAUCUAGUCUCAAUAGGAAGGAAAAUUAUUUUGAUUCUAGUUUAAGGUGAUUUUGGACAGGUAGAAAGUCUGAAAUUUGACAUGGAUCAAAAGCUAUGCGACUUCGCUGUGAAAUCUGCACGCAAACAAAGGACCAAAGAGAGUAAGGUAGCUUCAAUGGACAAGAAUCAGCAUUCAAAUUCAUUAUUGAAGGGAGAAGAGAAAAGAAACGACACCUUACAAGAUGUGACGCCAAAAGAAGCUUCUCCAAGUGACAAUGAGCAUUCUGCCUUGACCUCGCUUGUAGAACCGCAGGACGAAAAUGGAGAGGAUAAAACCAUCCAACUUAUGGAGGAAAAAUCACAAAUGGAGG